rnacentral:rRNA from 1 species
GUCCACGCCGUAAACGAUGGGCGCUAGGUGUGGGCGGUGUCGACUCCGUCCGUGCCGAAGCUUACGCAUUAAGCGCCCCGCCUGGGGAGUACGGCCGCAAGGCUAAAACUCAAAGGAAUUGACGGGGCCCGCACAAGCAGCGGAGCAUGUGGUUUAAUUCGACGCAACGCGAAGAACCUUACCAGGGCUUGACAUGCACCGGAAAACCGUGGAAACACGGUCCCCCGCAAGGGUCGGUGCACAGGUGGUGCAUGGCUGUCGU